rnacentral:rRNA from 1 species
UAACGCGUGGGAAUCUGCCUUUCGGUACGGAAUAACUCAGGGAAACUUGUGCUAAUACCGUAUGACGUCGCGAGACCAAAGAUUUAUCGCCUAGGGAUGAGCCCGCGUCGGAUUAGCUAGUUGGUGAGGUAAAGGCUCACCAAGGCGACGAUCCGUAGGUGGUCUGAGAGGAUGAUCAGCCACACUGGGACUGAGACACGGCCCAGACUCCUACGGGAGGCAGCAGUGGGGAUUAUUGGACAAUGGGCGAAAGCCUGAUCCAGCAACGCCGCGUGAGUGAUGAAGGCCUUAGGGUUGU